rnacentral:rRNA from 1 species
UACGUAGGGACCAAGCGUUGUCCGGAAUCAUUGGGCGUAAAGCGCGCGUAGGUGCCAUUUAAGUCCGCUGUGAAAGUCAGAGGCUCAACCUUUGAAAGCCGGUGGAUACUGGAUGGCUAGAGUACGGAAGAGGCGAGUGGAAUUCCUGGUGUAGCGGUGAAAUGCGCAGAUAUCAGGAGGAACACCAAUGGCGAAGGCAGCUCGCUGGAACGGUACUGACGCUGAUGCGCGAAGCCAGGGAGC